AGAGUUUGAUCAUGGCUCAGAUUGAACGCUGGCGGUAGGCUUAACACAUGCAAGUCGAGCGAGAAAGUAUCUUCGGAUAUGAGUAGAGCGGCGGACGGGUGAGUAACGCGUAGGAAUCUACCUAGUAGAAGGGGAUAGCCCGGGGAAACUCGGAUUAAUACCGUAUACCUCCUAAGGGAGAAAGAGGGCCUCUCUUGAAGCUCUCGCUACUAGAUGAGCCUGCGUAAGAUUAGCUUGUUGGUAAGGUAAUGGCUUACCAAGGCUACGAUCUUUAGCUGGUCUGAGAGGACGAUCAGCCACAUUGGGACUGAGACACGGCCCAGACUCCUACGGGAGGCAGCAGUGGGGAAUAUUGGACAAUGGAGGCAACUCUGAUCCAGCUAUGCCGCGUGUGUGAAGAAGGCUCUAGGGUUGUAAAGCACUUUAGGUAAGGACGAAAAGAAUAUAGUUAAUACGUAUAUUCCGUGACUUAACUUACAGAAUAAGGACCGGCUAACUCCGUGCCAGCAGCCGCGGUAAUACGGAGGGUCCAAGCGUUAAUCGGAAUUACUGGGCGUAAAGCGCGCGUAGGUGGUUUAUUAAGUUGGGUGUGAAAGCCCCGGGCUCAACCUGGGAACUGCAUCCAAAACUGAUUCACUAGAGUACGAAAGAGGAAAGUAGAAUUCACAGUGUAGCGGUGGAAUGCGUAGAUAUUGUGAAGAAUACCGAUGGCGAAGGCAGCUUUCUGGUUCUGUACUGACACUGAGGUGCGAAAGCGUGGGUAGCGAACAGGAUUAGAUACCCUGGUAGUCCACGCCGUAAACGAUGACAACUAGCUGUUGGAAAGCUAUGCUUUUCAGUGGCGCAGCUAACGUCUUAAGUUGUCCGCCUGGGGAGUACGACCGCAAGGUUAAAACUCAAAUGAAUUGACGGGGACCCGCACAAGUAGUGGAGCAUGUGGUUUAAUUCGAAGAUACGCGCAGAACCUUACCAACACUUGACAUGUUCGUCGCGACUUUAAGAGAUUAAAGUUUUCGGUUCGGCCGGACGAAACACAGGUGCUGCAUGGCUGUCGUCAGCUCGUGUCGUGAGAUGUUGGGUUAAGUCCCGCAACGAGCGCAACCCUCACUUUUAGUUGCCAUCAUUAAGUUGGGCACUCUGAAAGAACUGCCAGUGAUAAGCUGGAGGAAGGUGGGGAUGACGUCAAGUCCUCAUGGCCCUUACGUGUUGGGCUACACACGUGCUACAAUGGUAUCUACAACAGGAAGCAAGACGGCGACGUUAAGCAAAUCCUUAAAAGAUACCUCAGUUCGGAUUGCACUCUGCAACUCGAGUGCAUGAAGCUGGAAUUACUAGUAAUCGUGGAUCAGCGUGCCACGGUGAAUGCGUUCCCGGGUCUUGUACACACCGCCCGUCACACCAUGGGAGUUGGUUCUACCUUAAGGCAAGGUUUCAAACCCUUGACCACGGUAUAGUCAGCGACUGGGGUGAAGUCAUAACAAGGUAGCCGUA
rnacentral:rRNA from 1 species